rnacentral:rRNA from 1 species
GACGAACGCUGGCGGCGUGCUUAACACAUGCAAGUCGAACGGAAAGGCCCUGCUUUUGUGGGGUGCUCGAGUGGCGAACGGGUGAGUAACACGUGAGUAACCUGCCCUUGACUGUGGGAUAACUUCAGGAAACUGGGGCUAAUACCGGAUAGGAGCUCCUGCUGCAUGGGGGGGGUUGGAAAGUUUCGGCGGUUGGGGAUGGACGCGCGGCUUAUCAGCUUGUUGGUGGGGUAGUGGCUUACCAAGGCUUUGACGGGUAGCCGGCCUGAGAGGGUGACCGGCCACAUUGGUCCUGAGAUACGGCCCAGACUCCUACGGGAGGCAGCAGUGGGGAAUAUUGCACAAUGGGCGGAAGCCUGAUGCAGCAACGCCGCGUGCGGGAUGACGGCUUUCGGGUUGUAAACCGCUUUCGCCUGUGACGAAGCGUGAGUGACGGUAAUGGGUAAAGAAGCACCGGCUAACUACGUG